AGAGAGAGACAUGCGUGCAUAUCAAUAAGCGGAGGAAAAGAAACUAACUAGGAUUCCCUCAGUAACGGCGAGUGAAGCGGGAAGAGCUCAAAUUUGAAAUCUUCAAGGUUCUACCUUGACGAAUUGUAGUUUAAAGAAGUGUUUUCUGUUGGAGUUUUGGUAAAAGUUCUUUGGAAUAGGACAUCAUAGAGGGUGAGAAUCCCGUAUUUGACCAUUAUUUCCAGCUUUGUGAUACACUUUCAAAGAGUCGGAAUUGUUUGGGAAUGCAGUCCAAAAUGGGUGGUAAAUUUCAUCUAAAGCUAAAUAUUGGCGAGAGACCGAUAGCGAACAAGUACCGUGAGGGAAAGAUGAAAAGAACUUUGAAAAGAGAGUUAAACAGUACGUGAAAUUGUCAAAAGGGAAGCGUUUGACACCAGUGUUGUUUUCUCGAAAAUCAAUUAAAAAAGGCUAGGAUUUUGUGUUGUAUUGACUUUAUCAGCUUUCUGCACUCUUUUCUUGUCUUUUUUAAUGCACUUUUCGUUUAACAAGUCAACAUCAAUUUCUUUUGUUGUAAAAGGGUCAUUGGAAGGUGGCUUUCUUUUCGGAGAAAGUGUUUAUAGCCUUUGGCCUCUGCAAUCGGAGAGAUUGAGGUCUGCAGCGUAGAUCCUUCGGGGUUAGAUACAUUUGUGCUAAGUUAUAGCCUUUCAUAGACAACUUGUUGACUAUGAUCAGUCAUGUAGCUUACUCGCUUAUGCUAUUUUACCUACGCUUAGGAUGUUGAUGUGAUACUGCGAGCA
rnacentral:rRNA from 1 species